rnacentral:rRNA from 1 species
CCACGGGGGGCAGCAGUGGGGAAUAUUGCACAAUGGGGGGAACCCUGAUGCAGCGACGCCGCGUGGGUGAAGGAGCACCUCGGUGCGUAAAGCCCUAUCGGCAGGGAAGAAACAGACGGUACCUGAGUAAGAAGCCCCGGCUAACUACGUGCCAGCAGCCGCGGUAAUACGUAGGGGGCAAGCGUUAUCCGGAUUUACUGGGUGUAAAGGGAGCGUAGACGGCGAUGCAAGUCUGAAGUGAAAGCCCGGGGCUCAACCCCGGGACUGCUUUGGAAACUGUAUGGCUGGAGUGCUGGAGGGGCAAG